GAUGAAGAAGGGGCUAGGGGGGGUGGGGGGUUGGGUGGGGUGGGGGAAAGGAAAAAGUAAUCCGACGGAGAGAUAAUUUAUUCACUGCAAAAUCUCUCAAGUCGUACACGAACGGACGGAAGGAAGGACGUAUGGACGCUGGGCCAGUAGCGUUGCUCCCCGUUUUAUCGAGCGAACAGCACCAGCAAAAGCACCAGUACCAGUACGAGCAUCAGAGCAACAACCAGUACCAGUACCGGCAAAUGCACCAGUAACACCGGUACACCAGUAAACCAGCACCAUCAGCAAUACCAGUAGCACACCGGCAGCAAUAGCACUGGCAAUAACAGCAACAUACCAGCAAAACAGCAACGGCGGCAGCUUGUCCCGUGACCUGACCUCGUCUGAACCCUCCUCCAUAUACCACUUUACCUCGCUCAGUUUCGCCCUAACGCAAUCACCUCCACGCAAACUCCACCUUCUGCCGGUUCAACUUCCACUACUAAUAUCUACUGGCAACAUCUUUCGUGUAUAUAUAUAUAUAUAUAUAUAUAUAUAUAUAUAUAUAUAUAUAUAUAUAUAUAACUGUACAAACGGAUAGAUAGAUUAAUUAAUUGAUUUAUUUAUCUUCUUAUCAACAAUCUUUUGUCAAAACAAUGUGAGAGAUAUCAUUGACAGCAGCAUGAAAAAAAAGAUUCUUCAAAUAAUACGCUAAGAAAAUAACAAAAUUAUAUAUGUAUAUACAAUAUGUUGUUUUCUAUUAUUUUAUUACUCUAUUUUUUCACGAGUUAUGAGAGAUUAUCCCAAAGUUUUUUUUCUUCUUCUUUUUUUUUUUUUUCUUUUUUUUUGAAAAAGAUAAAAUUUCCACUUGAAAAAUGAUCAGUAAAAUCGUAAAAUUUCAAUAACGAAACGACAUUGAAUACUCGUUUCGAAGUAUCCUACCAAUUUCUUGCUUUUUUUUCUUUUCUUUUUUUUUUUUUCUUUUUCUUUUUCUCUUUCUUUUACUUUCGAAAUAUAUAUUUUCGAAAAUAUUUAUGUAUUUUUACAGGAUGACUCAUAUCAUAACUGACGACGAAUGAUUAUCAAAUUUAUCUUUAGUCAGUCCAUAAAUAUCUUAUUAUGUUUAACUACAUGCAUACACAUACAUACAAAUUUUAUAUAUAUAUAUAUGUAUAUAUAUAUAUAUAUAUAUAUAUAUAUAUAUAUAUAUGUAUAUACAACACAUACAAUAAUUAAUCAUUAUUUAGAUUGUAUUGGCCAAUAAAAUAACGUCAGAAUUUUCAUUAUUUCGCAUCUGUAUUUAUAUAUUCGUCCAGUUACGUAUAUAUGAUUAAUCAUUAUUAAAUUGAAUUGGCCAAUGUCAGUAGCUAAUGUCAGCAGAAUGUCAAUAAUUUUGUAUUUAAUAAAUAAAUAUUAUUAUUAUUAUUAUUA